rnacentral:rRNA from 1 species
GACGAACGCUGGCGGCGUGCUUAACACAUGCAAGUCGAGCGGUAAGGCCCUUUCGGGGGUACGACGAGCGGCGAACGGGUGAGUAACACGUGGGUGACCUGCCCUCAGCUCUGGGAUAAGCCCGGGAAACUGGGUCUAAUACCGGAUAUGACUCCAUGACGCAUGUUGUGGGGUGGAAAGCCUUGUGCGGCUGAGGAUGGGCCCGCGGCCUAUCAGCUUGUUGGUGGGGUGAUGGCCACCAAGGCGACGACGGGUAGCCGGCCUGAGAGGGCGACCGGCCACACUGGGACUGAGAUACGGCCCAGACUCCUACGGGAGGCAGCAGUGGGGAAUCUUGCGCAAUGGGCGAAAGCCUGACGCAGCGACGCCGCGUGAGGGAUGACGGCCUGGUGU